GACGAACGCUGGCGGCGUGCUUAACACAUGCAAGUCGAACGGUAAGGCCCUUCGGGGUACACGAGUGGCGAACGGGUGAGUAACACGUGGGUGAUCUGCCCUGCACUUCGGGAUAAGCCUGGGAAAAUGGGUCUAAUACCGGAUAGGACUCCUGGCUUCAUGGUUGGGGGUGGAAGGCUUUUGAGGUGUGGGAUGGGCCCGCGGCCUAUCAGCUUGUUGGUGGGGUAAUGGCCUACCAAGGCGACGACGGGUAGCCGGCCUGAGAGGGUAACCGGUCACACUGGGACUGCGAUACGGCCCAGACUCCUACGGGAGGCAGCAGUGGGGAAUAUUGCACAAUGGGCGCAAGCCUGAUGCAGCGACGCCGCGUGAGGGAUGACGGCCUUCGGGUUGUAAACCUCUUUCAGCUAUGACGAAGCGCAAGUGACGGUAGUAGCAGAAGAAGGACCGGCCAACUACGUGCCAGCCGCCGCGGUAA
rnacentral:rRNA from 1 species